rnacentral:rRNA from 1 species
CCUACGGGAGGCAGCAGUGAGGAAUAUUGGUCAAUGGUCGCGAGCCUGAACCAGCCAAGUAGCGUGAAGGAUGACUGCCCUACGGGUUGUAAACUUCUUUUAUCAAGGAAUCAAGUUAGGCACGUGUGCCUUUUUGUAUGUACUUUAUGAAUAAGGAUCGGCUAACUCCGUGCCAGCAGCCGCGGUAAUCCGGGGGAUCCGAGCGUUAUCCGGAUUUAUGGGGUUAAAAGGGAGCGUAGAGGGGUUGUUAAGUCAGUUGUGAAAGGUUGCGGCGCAACCGGAAAAUGGCAAUUGAGACUGGAAGUCGUGAGUACAGGUGAGGUAGGGGGAAGGAGGGGUGGAGCGGGGAAAUGAUUAGAUCUCACGAAGAACGCCGAGUGAGAAGGCAGCUCAGUAAACUGACACUGACACUGAUGCUAGAAAGUGUGGGUAUCAAAGAGGAUGAGAUACCUGUAGUC